UAGGGAAUAUUGCUCAAUGGGGAACCCUGAAGCAGCAACGCCGCGUGGAGGAUGAAGGUUUUCGGAUUGUAAAACUCCUUUGUUAGAGAAGAUAAUGACGGUAUCUAACGAAUAAGCACCGGCUAACUCCGUGCCAGCA
rnacentral:rRNA from 1 species